AGUGAACGCUGGCGGUAGGCCUAACACAUGCCAGUCGAACGGCAGCACAGUAAGAGCUUGCUCUUACGGGUGGCGAGUGGCGGACGGGUGAGGAAUACAUCGGAAUCUACUUUUUCGGGGGGGAUAACGUAGGGAAACUUACGCUAAUACCGCAUACGACCUACGGGUGAAAGCAGGGGAUCUUCGGACCUUGCGCGAUUGAAUGAGCCGAUGUCGGAUUAGCUAGUUGGCGGGGUAAAGGCCCACCAAGGCGACGAUCCGUAGCUGGUCUGAGAGGAUGAUCGGCCACACUGGAACUGAGACACGGUCCAGACUCCUACGGGAGGCAGCAGUGGGGAAUAUUGGACAAUGGGCGAAAGCCUGAUCCAGCCAUACCGCGUGGGUGAAGAAGGCCUUCGGGUUGUAAAGCCCUUUUGUUGGGAAAGAAAAGCAGCAGGUUAAUACCCCGCUGUUCUGACGGUACCCAAAGAAUAAGCACCGGCUAACUUCGUG
rnacentral:rRNA from 1 species